GUCCCACACAAGGGGAGCUAGCCAGUGGAAAAUAAACCAUGUUCAUUGCAGUGUGCCUCUGUUAGGAGAGUGCUUCUCUCUCUGUGGCUCGCUCCGUUUUUUGACGACUUAUAGAGAGCGUGUGUGCAGGCACAGGCCCUUUAUGUGCUCUCUGCUCUCUCUGUGCUUUCUCUCUUUUUUUUCACUUUCUGUUUAUCAUGACUAUUUCGUCAGGAGCUGGUUGAGAGAGACUUGGCAGGAGAGUGGCAGAGCUGGAUUUGUGCGAAAGAACAACCGCAGAAAAGAAGUGCAUAGAGAAGAGUUUGUUUUGAACUUUUCUGUCUUCCAGCAUGAGAAGAUGGAAGUCUUUUGAAGAACAAAGAGAUAAAGAGGGACCGAAAGAUGUACGACUUGCAAACAACAAGGUGGCUGAGUCAACCUUUGUCUUAAUGAGGAGAUGGAGAUGGUCUAUCGUCAAUGGCUUUUAUGGUCCCUGCUGUAUUUUCACUGAAAGAGCCGGCCUACUCUGUCCACCAAGCCUGACUCCAUUUUGAUGCCAGGCGAAGAGACGAGGACUGACCAGCCCUUUGGUUCCCACACCAUGUAGGCUCCAGCCCACACCAUUGGCUACCCACUACCACACCAGUACGUUGGCAUUUCUCUUUUCGUAUUUCUGUAUUUUUCUAUUCAUUUCUCAAUUAAUUUCUCUCUUGGUCUUGGUUUUGUCGUGAUAAGUGCGAAACCUCACCUAUGAUUCUGUACCUCUCUCUCAUGUUCAACUGACCUUACCCUAUAGUACCUAUAUUGUUCUUAAGGGUGAUUGGGAAUUCCUAUAUUUCUCUGAGAUAAGUACGGUAACAAAAAUAAAGCUAAUUUAAAUCUCUCCCUCGUGUGUAUAUUCACCCUCAGCUUGUGAAAAAUAUUUGAGUGAUCGUUCUGAAAGACAGUUUAGUGAAGUACGUAAACGAAACAUUGCAUUUUCAAAUCAAAAAUAUCUUUCAGAGCCAUGUUUUGUUAUGAUUUACAGUUCGCUAUGACAAUUGAAUGACCUUUUCAAUUUGUAGUUGAAUGUCCCAGUCUAUCAUUUCUGUUACACACCUUAAUCAAGAGGUGUGCUGUGUUUCUGUAGGGAUUAGAGUGACAAGGUGGCUCAGCAGAACUCGAGUUCAUUGAUUUACUGUUAAUUCAUGUGACCUUUCAUUUAACUGUUGUCUUAUUCAUUGUUUAAUUAUACCUUCUGCACUAUCCCCUGGAGUGACUUUCUCUACAGCAGUUAUUAAAUUGUCUUUAUAUAAGAGCUAUGGCCAGAUUUAAAUCCAUUUUCACUCGUUUUUUUGUUGCAAUUCUGCAUUGCAGUAUUUCUUCAACAAAUGUACUCACACCCUGACAUUUAAGUGGUAACAGAUAUUAUUUGCAAAGUCUGUACAGGUCCAUUUUUAUAUUACAAUUCAGAAAUCAGGAAGAUGGGCAGACAUAUCUGAAAGGAAAUAUAUAAAUUGUCAGUCCCGGAUACAAAUGGUGGACACUUGAAUGAUCUUUCCUGGCUACCUCUUGAAAAGAAUGAAUAUACGCUAACAUGAAAAUGCAAUAAGGCAUUGUAAUAACCA